GUGCUCACUCCGGCAGCACAAGUACUAAAACGGGAACAGUCCAGAGACGGUCAGCACGGCCCCUGUGCGAGGCUGACACACAAAUUCCUGAAGCGUUCCAUAAAAAA